AUUGAACGCUGGCGGCAUGCUUUACACAUGCAAGUCGGACGGCAGCGGGGUAGUGCUUGCACUACUGCCGGCGAGUGGCGAACGGGUGAGUAACAUAUCGGAACGUACCGAGCAGUGGGGGAUAACUAAUCGAAAGAUUAGCUAAUACCGCAUAUAUUCUGAGGAAGAAAGCAGGGGACCUUUGGGCCUUGCGCUGUUUGAGCGGCCGAUAUCUGAUUAGCUGGUUGGUGGGGUAAAGGCCUACCAAGGCGACGAUCAGUAGCGGGUCUGAGAGGAUGAUCCGCCACACUGGGACUGAGACACGGCCCAGACUCCUACGGGAGGCAGCAGUGGGGAAUUUUGGACAAUGGGGGCAACCCUGAUCCAGCCAUGCCGCGUGUCUGAAGAAGGCCUUCGGGUUGUAAAGGACUUUUGUCCGGGAAGAAAAGCGCGAUGUUAAUACCAUUGCGUGCUGACGGUACCAGAAGAAUAAGCACCGCUAAUAC
rnacentral:rRNA from 1 species